GACGAACGCUGGCGGUGUGCUUAACACAUGCAAGUGGUGCGACGAACCAGAGCUUGCUCUGGGGCAAAGCCGCGAACGGGUGAGUAACACGUGGGUAAUCUACCCCCGAUGACCGGGACAACCCCGAGGAAACUCGGGCUAAUACCGGAUGUGGUACGGAGACAUAAGUCUCUUUACUAAAGGUAGCUUCGGCUUCCGCAUUGGGAGGGGCCCGCGGCCCAUUAGCUAGUUGGUGGGGUCAAGGCCUACCAAGGCAACGAUGGGUAGCUGGUCUGAGAGGACGAUCAGCCACACUGGGACUGAGACACGGCCCAGACUCCUACGGAGGCAGCAGUGGGGAAUCUUGCGCAAUGCGCGAAAGCGUGACGCAGCAACACCGCGUGAGGGAAGACGGCCUUAGGGUUGUAAACCUCUUUCAGAU
rnacentral:rRNA from 1 species